GUCCAGCCUCCAAGGUUACCAUGACAGGAAAGACGGCCGGAGGACAUCACAAGAUGUUUCUAAGGGCCAGGCCUGGAAGUAGCUUAUAUUACUUUUGCUCAUACUCUGUUGCUUGGCACUCUAUCACAUGGACCAGCUCUUAACUGCAAGGGUUUCUGGGAAAUGGGAGUCUCUAUGUGACCCAAGAAAUAGAACCACCAAGAUAAACACACAGCCAUGCCCAUAAAAUAUCACUUUUAUAGAGCUUCUCCCUGUGUAGAAAAUCUAAUGGAUUUGAAAACCCGAGAAUGGACUAACAUUCUUACCACACUAAUAACAUGGGUUUCAUUUCUGAGCACUCUUUUGAAUAUCUUUCUAGUGGGUACUCUCUUUAAAAAAUCUACAGAUUUUGGCGAGGAUCCAUGGCGGCUUUGGUUGCUGUUUGCGGUGAUCUAGGGAGGAAAAAGUUAACGCAUUUCGUAAAGGCUGCUCUCUGCCUCACGGAUCCUGGGACUCACGCGGUGCUGUGGAGGAGUUGUUCACAAUAUAAGCACGUAGCCGGCAAUGAGGACCUGCCCGUUCCAAUGGAAAAUCCUUAUAAGGAGCCUUUUAAAAAAAAAAAUGUAUCUUGUGUGGAAAACGUGUAGAUUAUAAGAAUGUACAGCUUUUGUCCCAGUUUAUUUCUCCAUUUACUGGAUGCAUUUAUGGAAGGCACAUAACAGGUCUUUGUGGGAAGAAACAGAAAGAAAUCACAAAAGCAAUUAAGAGAGCUCAAAUAAUGGGGUUUAUGCCAGUUACGUACAAGGAUCCUGCAUAUCUCAAAGACCCUAAAGUUUGUAACAUCAAGUAUCGGGAAUAAAUUGUAGGAGUCUUCACAUCCAUCAAUAAACAUAUUUUACAA